rnacentral:rRNA from 1 species
AUUCCAGCUCCAAUAGCGUAUAUUAAAGUUGUUGCAGUUAAAAAGCUCGUAGUUGGAUUUCUGGUGGGAGCGUUGGGCCGGCCCUAAGGGUCUGAGCUCAAAUGUUUUCCGCCAUCCUUGGAGGGAUGUUGUCUGGCAUUAAGUUGUCGGGCUUCCGAUCUCCAUCGUUUACUGUGAAAAAAUUAGAGUGUUCAAAGCAGGCUUAUGCCGUUGAAUACAUUAGCAUGGAAUAAUAAGAUAGGACCUUGGUACUAUUUUGUUGGUUUGCGUACCUAGGUAAUGAUUAAUAGGGACAGUUGGGGAUAUUACUAUUUCGUUGUCAGAGGUGAAAUUCUUGGAUUUACGAAAGAGUAACUACUGCGAAAGCAUUUAUCAAGGAUGUUUUCAUCG